AACGAACGCUGGCGGCAUGCCUAACACAUGCAAGUCGAACGAAGGCUUCGGCCUUAGUGGCGCACGGGUGCGUAACGCGUGGGAAUCUACCCUUAGGUUCGGAAUAACUCAGAGAAAUUUGAGCUAAUACCGGAUAAUGUCUUCGGACCAAAGAUUUAUCGCCUUUGGAUGAGCCCGCGUAGGAUUAGCUAGUUGGUAGGGUAAAGGCCUACCAAGGCGACGAUCCUUAGCUGGUCUGAGAGGAUGAUCAGCCACACUGGGACUGAGACACGGCCCAGACUCCUACGGGAGGCAGCAGUGGGGAAUAUUGCGCAAUGGGCGAAAGCCUGACGCAGCCACGCCGCGUGAGUGAUGAAGGCCUUCGGGUUGUAAAGCUCUGUCGGGAGGGACGAAGGGGUAACCCUGACGGUACCUCGCAAGAAAGCACCGGCUAACUCUGUGCCAGCAGCCGCGGUAA
rnacentral:rRNA from 1 species